rnacentral:tRNA from 1 species
AGCUCUGUGGUGAAUUCUUCACAUUGAAUUGCAAAUUCAAAGAAGCAGCCUAGACGCCGCCGGGGCUUC